AUCAUUAAAGUUUAACAGUAAAAGUUUUCAGCGCAGUGGAUGUACUCAUUAUUUUUUAACUUUUUGCUGUUUUUUAUUGCCUCUUGAUUAUUUUUCAUUAUUCCAAACAAUUCACUCAACUGCUUUUACACCCCAUUAACAAUUUGCACAGAAAUCAAUCGACUUAAUGCAAUUGAUGCACUUUGGCUUUAUGUUAUGCAUGUCUGAAAAAAUCUAAAUUUGGACCGUGUUCCUUAUUCUCCAAAGGCUGGAUUAGUAGGCUAGAGUCUAUCUCUCAAAUGUCACUGUAACCUUGGAAGGAAGUCUGAGCUCCAGCCGAUAUAUAUGCAGAAAAUUAUAAAUUUUUUAGGAGAUUACCGAUUCCUUAUAAUACUAGUAUUGAACUCACACACGCGCGAACAAUAUUUUUGUAUCCGACGGAGUCCGUAUCUUUCAAAAACAUUCGAACCGAUACAACAUUAUAUCAUUAUUCCAUGCGUCUAUUGUCCCGGCUUAGGGUAAAGAUCCAGGAAACCUUUGUAGCCCGAUGUAACCAUUUUCUCAGAGCUCUAUCCUAUAAAGUAGUAGUCACAGAAUAUCUUUUCUUAGCAAUCACGUUGAAAUAAAACUAUAUACAUAUAUGUCUAAAUUUUGAUCCUUGGGCUACAUUUACUGGCCACUUCUUCCCUUGUUGAUCUACAUCUAUAUGAAAUUAUCAGUACAACAACCACGCCAAGAGGAACGGACUCUUUUUAAUUCAUCCUCCAAUAAAAGAACGGUGCUUUCACAGCUGAUAAACCAUAUCUAACGGUUGUAAACCCUAGUUAACGAUUUCUAAUCUAGGUUUAGUUGUCUGUAAACGUUAACCAUAUAUUAUGCUAAAAAUAUAGAUUCCCAUUUGUUAACUUAAGUUUACAUUCGUUAACUAUCAUAGUUGUUUAAUAAUAGUUGUUUGUUUUCAAUCGUGACAUCAUAUUUAUCAGAUAAACUAUGUUUUGCAAUCGCUAAAUAGUGCACACUUCCAAAACAUACUGGCUAGUAUAGACGAUCGCGUUAUCUAUAUGGUAAACAAAUGUAAAAAAUGGAUUACCGUCGUUAACGUUUUCUGUCCGUAAACUACAGUUUACUACAGUAACUGAUAAACCUUUUUUAUCGACUGAAACCUUGUUUAUACACUGAAAUUAAAACAAUGUUUACCUCAUUUUUGUACAUAUGACACGCCAAAGAUACCGGUACAUGUUUGUCAUCUACUGAACAAUGAACUUGGAACUACAACUCGAGACGGAGAUUGGAGCCAGCUGCCUGUCCGCAAAGGUUCAAACAGGCAAAAUAAGAAUAUUUAAAACAGCUGUUUUCUGUCAACGAAAACAACAGAUACAAGGAUGUUGCUCUGAUGCAAAACAAAAGCAAUAAAGUUAACCUGCUGUGCCGGUAUAUUUACCUCACUGUGUGGCCAUGUGUACUCUGAAUGUGGAACACCGCCAUGCUCUUGAAAAAUACUAAGGGAAUAAUUGCAUUAUAAUUGCAUUGCUCUAAGCCGAGCUUUCAAUCAUUUAGCCUGAAACAAUUACAGACUACUUGACUCUAUAUAUGUGGCUUCUACAUGGCACCCAAAGAAGCCGCCCUAGUAGUGAGUAGGAAGCAGGUACUGUAUACUAGAUCAUCGUUAUGGGAUACAUCUUGAAUAUAAAUGAAUAGAAAUAGUUUCUUUAUGGAACAUGAUAUGAAAUUCUUUAGAAAGUGGCGACCUUGAGUUUAUAAUGGUAUUAUUCUAUCUAUAUAGUAAACAUGAAAAUCCUAAGAAACCCCCUGUGCGACAGAUAAGCACACCAAGUUGUGCAUUAUAAAACUGAAGAGGGAGAAAUGUUUGGUAUGUUUUAAAUAAAGAAUAAACGAUCUUUUCCGUUUUGUUGAAUGAUAGAAUAAAUCAAGAAAUACUGCCAGAGAAUUGAACAAUAUGUAUAACAGUGUAAGUGGAGCAUGUGACUACAUACAACCAAUGGUAAAGUAUCUGUCUAUUUCAGCGUCCAA